GCUGUAUCACAUUGAAAUACCAGUUCUUGUAUGAUCACCAAACUUAAGCAAUGUGACACCUGAUCAGUACCUAGAUGGGUGACCAUUUGGGAAUACCAGGUGCUGUAA